rnacentral:rRNA from 1 species
UGCCAGUGAUAAACUGGAGGAAGGUGGGGAUGACGUCAAGUCAUCAUGGCCCUUACGACCAGGGCUACACACGUGCUACAAUGGCGCAUACAAAGAGAAGCGACCUCGCGAGAGCAAGCGGACCUCAUAAAGUGCGUCGUAGUCCGGAUUGGAGUCUGCAACUCGACUCCAUGAAGUCGGAAUCGCUAGUAAUCGUGGAUCAGAAUGCCACGGUGAAUACGUUCCCGGGCCUUGUACACACCGCCCGUCACACCAUGGGAGUGGGUUGCAAAAGAAGUAGGUAGCUUAACCUUCGGGAGGGCGCUUACCACUUUGUGAUUCAUGACUGGGGUGAAGUCGUAACAAGGUAACC